UGCAAUUAUAUGAGGUCCCGUUUGUU
rnacentral:piRNA from 1 species